AGAGUUUGAUCCUGGCUCAGAACGAACGCUGGCGGCGUGGCUAAGACAUGCAAGUCAAACGGUCCGGCACUUAUUUGUUUACAAAUUCGUGCUGGAUAGUGGCGAAAGGGUUAGUAAUGGAUAGGUAACGUGCCCUCCGCUUCGGAAUAGCGUCGGUUGCUUCGGCAACCUUCCGAAAGGGGCAAUAAUACCGAAUAAUAUUACUUGUCGAUGGGCAAGUAAUCAAAGAUUUAUCGGCAGAGGAGCGGCCUAUCUCUUAUCAGCUUGUUGGUGAGGUAAUGGCUCACCAAGGCUAUGACGGGUAGCGGGACUGAGAGGUUGACCCGCAACAUCGGGACUGAGACACUGCCCGGACCUCCACGGAGGGCUGCAGUAACGAAUAUUGCGCAAUGGGCCAAAGCCUGACGCAGCGACGCCGCGUGCGGGAGGAAGUCCCUCGGGAUGUAAACCGCUGUCAGGGAUUAGAAAGUUCGCUUCGGCGGAUUGAUCAGUCCCAAAGGAAGUCACGCUAACUU
rnacentral:rRNA from 1 species